GGUUGAGUUAGGCCCAAGGUCCAUUCUUUUCAGUAUGGAAACAGACUCUCGAGUCUAAGGGUUUCAAAAUAAGCAGAUCUAAGACAGAAUACCUGGAGUGCAAGUUUAGCGCUGAGCCGAGCGAAGUAGGAAGCCAGGCCCAUCCCAAUUAUUGUUACCGAUGUUGGGUCCCCAUUUAUGUUGUCCACGCUCCAGAGAUCUGGGCGUGACGGGGGUUGUUGAGUUGUCCCACAUCGGAGGGAUUUGAGGUACUUGGUCUCCUUAUAUUGCUUGGACAAUCCUCACCUCAUAAGCUAGCUAUUGGGGUUGAGUUAGGCCCAAGAUCCAUUCUUAUCAUGGUAUCAGAGCCAAGCCCAUCCCAAAUAUUGUUACCGAUGUUGGGCCCCCAUUUAUGUUGUCCACGCUCCAGAGAUCUGGGCGUGAUGGGGGGUGUUGAGUUGUCCCACAUCGGAGGGAUUUGAGGUCCUUGGUCUCCUUGUAUGGCUUGGACAAUCCUCACCUCAUAAGCUAGCUUUUGGGGUUGAGUUAGGUCUAUCCUCUUACACGCUGAAAACCAAAUAAAAUCGAAUGAAUUAGUAGCUUUCUAUCCACACAGCUAUCUCUUCCGAUGCACUAAUAAAUCGGAAAAAUAAUAAACUGAAAGACACUCCAGUUAGAGAAAUUACCAAAAGAAAAGAAAAAAGAAAAAAAAAGAAAUAGAAAUGAAAAGAAAGAUAUUAAGCUAGCAUUUUGCCAUAGAUAUCCAAAUUUAUUUUGAAAAAUCUAAUUUGUGUGAAGCUUAGUUUGAAGAUGAAAAUGUGUUUGGACAUACGUUUCCAAAUCAUAUUUCCCAAUCAUGUUGUCCCUGUUCCGGGGUUUGCAGAUACAAGAGUAGAAAAACAGCAACCCUCCGUUCGACUAAACUACUGCUACUGCUACUACACCUUUUGGUGAUUCUCCAGCUCUAACUAUUUUCUUCGUCGACGGUAUCUCUGAUCAUCAAACGGUAAGCCCCAAAAAUCUCCGGUAUAAGUCACAUCGUUACUCGUAACAUAUAAUUUCUUAAUUUUUCUAUAUUCAACUCAUUUGUCUUGAUCCUCGUUGGAUAACCACUCUGAAUUUACGCUUAAUUUGUUUGGUGCCCUAAUUCUGAUAUGAUUUCCACCGGGAAAUUGUCUGGUUAAUUUCAUUUGUCGCCGAAGUAGGUACUAGUCGAAUUUUCAUUUGUUUCUUUUUUUCCAAUGAAAAUGACUGAUAUUGCUCCUUUCGUACACGGGAAAUUGGCUGGUUAAUUUCAUUUGUCGCCGAAGUAGGUACUAGUCGAAUUUUCAUUUGUUUCUUUUUUCCAAUGAAAAUGACUGAUAUUGCUCCUUUCGUACUCGUUAAUGUCCAUUCUUCUGUAGCGAAAUGGAGUCUCAAGCUUUCCUGUUUCUGUUUCAGAUAAAAAAAAUCCCAAGCCCUUUUUUCUACCAUAUUCGCUCAUUUGGAAUUGUGAACUGAGUAGCAAAACAAAUGCUUUGUGUUUGCUCUUGUGCAUAAAGGAAGUUGUACACACAUACUUGAGUAUACUCAAGUAUCUUUUUUCUCCUUUUUUAUAGUGAAUUUGUACUUAUGUGCUUCUCCGUGAGAUAGUGGUUUCAACUUUGUCAUGGGGUGUAAAUCUGUCAAGUAAAUCAUAAUUUCUAAAGCAUUUGUAAAUCCUUUUUAUUAACCAAAUAAUGGAUUCAGUUCUAAGUCCUAAAUAUCUUAAGUUUCCAUGUUGAUUUUAUUUGCAGUUCUUUGAUCGUAAAAGUCUGUCCUGUAAGGCUCUUCAAAGUCCGUCAUUUUAAAUACAGAAGAUGUUCAAUAUCUGUAAUAUUUUUUUUUAACGUUCCAUGAUUGUUAUAACUAAAGAGAAUGUGAUAUUCAAUACUCCUGCUAAUUAAUAAUUUCGUUUGGGUUGCUCUGAUGGUAAGCAACUCCCACUUUCAACCGAGAGGUUGUGAGUUCGAGUCUUCCCAANNNNNNNNNNNNNNNNNNNNNNNNNNNNNNNNNNNNNNNNNNNNNNNNNNNNNNNNNNNNNNNNNNNNNNNNNNNNNNNNNNNNNNNNNNNNNNNNNNNNNNNNNNNNNNNNNNNNNNNNNNNNNNNNNNNNNNNNNNNNNNNNNNNNNNNNNNNNNNNNNNNNNNNNNNNNNNNNNNNNNNNNNNNNNNNNNNNNNNNNNNNNNNNNNNNNNNNNNNNNNNNNNNNNNNNNNNNNNNNNNNNNNNNNNNNNNNNNNNNNNNNNNNNNNNNNNNNNNNNNNNNNNNNNNNNNNNNNNNNGAGAGGUUGUGAGUUCGAGUCUCCCCAAAAGCAAGGUGGGAAGUUCUUGGAGGGAAGUAUGUCGGGGGUCUAUUUGGAAACAGCCGCUCUACCCUAGGGUAGGGGUAAGGUCUGCGUACCCACUACCCUCCCCAAACCCCACUAAAUGGGAUUAUACUAGGUUGUUGUUGUUGUUGUUGUUGUUGUUAUUGUUGUUAUUGUUGUUGUUGUUGUAUUUCCAAAAUUUAUUUUAAAAAAACAUGAAUAUUAUUAGUUUUUGUAAAGAUUUUGGUGCAAAACCAGCUAUUGAGCUGGUUUUGGGAUUUUUCCAAAAUAUAGAAAAAUCUAUAGCUAAACAUGUGUUUGCGAAAUAAAACCUAAAUUUAUUUUGAAAAAAUCUAUGGCCAAACGGGUACUAAAACUUCAUAAACGAGAAUGGGAAAGAGGAGUGACAUUUGGGCUGCAGAUAGAGUUGAAGAUGGGGCGUUUGCAUCUAUACCCGCUUUUUAUGCUACAUUUUAACAUGUGCCCACUUUGCAAAAAAUAUGCAAGUGUACCUGUUUUUUCAUAUAAUUUCAGCAUACGGGGCUGAAGUAGCAAAGACAAUCACACAAAACUUCAGCAUUUUAAUAGUCGAGUCUGAAGUUUUUGUUUAGUAACUCGCGAACAUCAGAUCUAGACCUGAAGUUUUAUUCUACGAAAAAGGGCCAAAAUAUCCUUGGACUAUUUGUAAUAGCUAAAAAAAUAUCCUCCGUUUAUUUUUGGUACCAAAAAUAUUCCUACUUGUCUAUGUUUUGGACCACAAAUGCCCUUUGACCAUUAGUCUUGCUAUUGAAGCAUGGCAGUCCAACUAAGUUAGAUUUGCUUGCAUGGCCAUCCACCUAAGCAAUCCAGUAUGACAAAAUUAUUUUUCCGGAAAGUUUAUUAAAAUACAUAAUCAACAUUUUUUCCGAAAAAAGUAAAAUAUUUCCAAAAAACUAUUUAUUUCAGAAAUUGUAAUUAAAAUACAAAAUAAAUUAUUUUGGAACGUGCUUUAAUAUAUUGUUCCGAUUUUUUUUUUACUUUUUUCGGAAUAAGUGUUCGACCAGAAAGUUUUUAAAUUUCACUUAAAAUUGAUUUUAGAAAUUUUUGAAAAAUUGAAAACUCCAAAUAUUAUAAGAAAUUCGGAUGAACCAAUUGAUACUUACAGUAGAGGUGUGCCUUUUGUGAAGCUAUAACUGAUAAGCAUCUACAAAUUUAGAUGAAAAUAAUCAUAAAUUCACAAAAGAGAACAAUGGAGUUUUUUAAUCAAAUCAUAAACCUCCCAAUCAAGAAUAAUUUUUCCGUACAUUUUUUACUUUUUUUGGAAUAAGCGUUGCUUUUUUAUAAUAAAAAAAUUCGAAAUAAAUAAUUUUAUCGGAAUUUUUUUACCUUUUUCAGAAUAAAUGUUGAUUUUGAAUUUUAAUAAAAAAUUUUGAAAAAAUAAUAUUUGCCAUGCUGGAUUACUUAGGUGUAGGGGUGUCAAUGAAUAUUCGAAAACCGACCGAACCGUACCGCACCAAAUCGAUUUUUAGGUUUCUUUUUAAGAAAUCAUAGGUUUUUAUAUAAAUCUAUAACUGCACCGAUAAUUAGGGUAGAUUUUUUAUUUUAUAAAAAUAAACCGAAAAAACACCAAACCGUACCGAAUAAAUUUUACAUGUGAAAAAUAUAUUUAUUUAGCAAGUUUAAAAAUAAUAAUGCAUUAAAUUUUCUUUGGGCCUUGGAAUUAUGAAAACUAUUACAAGACAACAAUUAAUUAAAUUCCAAAUACUAAUCCAUAAAAUCUAUUAUGCUACUUCUACUUAAACUAAGUUAUUUCAAGUAUCUUUAUUAUCAAGAUACAAAGUAUUCUAGCGAUUAUGAUAGCAUACUACAGUGUAUUGAAUAUGUUUUCUUUCAUAUAAUUAAGAUUUAUCUUUUUAAAUAUUUAAUUUUCUAUAGACCUUAUUCUUGAGUCCCAACUUGGUAUAAAAUAUGUUUCCUUUUGUAUAAUUAAGGUUUAUCUUUUUGAAUAUUUAAUCUUCUAUAUAUUUUAUUCUUGAGUCCCAACUUGUUAUAUCUUACAAUUCGUGUUAUUUAUAUUUUCUUUGCUUUUGUUUGAUUUCUUUUACAUUGUUGUAGAAUAGUUGAUGGAUCUAUACUCUAGCCAUCUUUUUUUCUUUUUAAUUCAUCAUUCUUUAAAUAGUAAAAAUGACUAAAGAGUUUUACUAAGUCCUUUAAAAGAGCGUAUGUUAUUGUGUUCAUUUUUCUUCUACUGGUGAGUUUUAUAUGAUAUUUAAAAAAAUUCCAAAAAUUAAUCGAGCCGUACCAACACCGAAUAGAAACCGACAUGAUUGGGACUGUUUCAAAAAGUCUAAUUUUGGUUAUACAUAAUAGAAUAACCAAAAAAUUGGUUUGGUACAAAUUUUAUAAAAUAACCGGCCGAACCGAACUAUUGAGUCUCCUACUUAGGUGGAUGGUCAUGUAAGCAAAUCUAACCCAGUUGGACUGCCAUGUCAGCUUCAAUGGCAAGACUAAUGGUCAAAGGGCAUUUGUGGUCCAAAACAUAGACGGCAGGGACAUUUUUUGGUACCAAAAACAAACGAAUGAUAUUUUUCAGCUAUUUAGAAUAGUUCAAGGACAUUUUAGGCCCUUUUCUGUUUAUUUUAUAAGUUUUUGUUUAGUACCAGAAAACUUCAGCCAGUUAUAAAAUAAAAACUUCAGUCCUAGAGCUGAAGUUUGCCAGUUAUAAAAUAAAAACUUCAGCUCUAGAGCUGGAGUUUUUGCUUAGUAACACUUCAGCUCUAGAGCAGAAGGUUUUUUGCACAAUAGGAAUUUGCCUUCCUUUUAUUGGUUUUCCUUUUUUUCCUCACCUUUACGUAUGCCCUGCAAUAUCUAGUCUAGUACGCAAUCACUGGAAAGUUCCUCCCAAGUUCACAUUUCGAAAAAAUAAGCUGCGUACUCUUUAUAUUAAUGUAUGAAAAUGUACUGUAUUUUCGUGUUUACGUUAAUCUAUUGAUAAUUUAAAUAGAUGUGAAGUUGAAACAACACGUAAAUUCAAGUGGUCAUAAAAUAAUAAAGGCUUUGAUGAAUUUAAGAAGUAAAAACCGUUACAGGUAUGGAUUCGAUGGAAUCAGAUUGUAAAGGGAGCUGAAGUUUUUAAACAAGAGAGUAUAAGUUAAAAAAUGAGUAUAGAUUAAAUGGGGGUGACCAAAUAGGACGCCCCGUGCAACUUUUUACGUUGAAAAUAGAAAGGAAACACAAACACAGUUAAUCAAGAAAAUUGAUGGGCCAAUUACUUUUUGGACCGGCUAUUAGAGAGAGCUACUUUUUGAAAAGUAAUAGAAAUAUGGGAAAUUACCAGCUAUGUCCAUUUAUAGGUAGCUCAUUACAAAAAUUGGCCAAUUGAUAAAAUAUNNNNNNNNNNNNNNNNNNNNNNNNNNNNNNNNNNNNNNNNNNNNNNNNNNNNNNNNNNNNNNNNNNNNNNNNNNNNNNNNNNNNNNNNNNNNNNNNNNNNNNNNNNNNNNNNNNNNNNNNNNNNNNNNNAUCAAAUUUUUGCUUUAUUUUGAGUGGGUGUUAUUAGAAUAGAUUGGGCACAACUUAAGGAACUUGAAUCUCAGUUUUGGGAUGAUUUGGUGAAGUUUUGAGGUGGUUUGAAUUGAAAAUUCGAAGUAAAACUCGAACACGAAAAAAACUGAUACUAUAUGUAUCACACUGUAUAUCGUUUUGUGUAUCACAUAUGUAUCUAUUGUGUAUCGCAUGUAUAUCCAUGUAUACCUGUGAGUUAGAUAUAUGCGUGAUACACGUUUGAUACAUGUGUUGCAGAAGACUUUUUUGAACUCGAUUUAAUUACGAAUUUUGAUACAAAACCAAUUCAAAAAACUCCGAUCUUCCUCAAAUUUUGUAUAUUGACUUAUAUAUAUAUAUUUUCAAUGAAUUUCAACUAUACCCAUUGAAAAAGUUCCUUUUUUGUUUAGAUUUUUGGAAUAUUGUAUAUAUUUUUUAUAUUCCAUCCCCUUAUUUGCUAUUUCAUCCAUGAAAUUUCCUUUCCGUCUUGUAUCUAGUGUUGCUAAUUACACUUAAAAAUAUGGAAGGUGAUUUUUGAAUAUGAUUCUUUGAGAGAAAGAACCCUAUUAUUUGGUUUUUCAAUUUUUGUUGGCUAAAUUUGGUAAAUCUAUGAUUAAUGGCUAAAGGUUGAUAAAUUAGAUUUAUUUGAGACAUUUGUGUAAGUUUCCCUAGAAAUAUAUCCACGCUUUUACCUACAGAUGGAUUAGAACUUUGGCUCGGCUUCCAAUGUUGAGCUCCUUUUGCCACCAAGAUUAGGAAAGAACCAGAAAGAAGCAAGCACAUGCCUCUUAACACAUUUAAAGCUGGAAAUGUAGUGUUUGUUCCAGGAAAUAAAACUUGUGCAGGACAAUAUUUUAACGAUAUUUCAGAGGAUCAUAAAACUCCUACAUAUGAGGUGAUAAUUUUUUUUUCGAUAAGGAUGAGGUGAUCAAUUCUUUAAAAUGAUUCACUAUCUCAAAACAUUAGAACUACGCAAAACAUAUAAGCACAUAGUUUAAAUGGAGGUCCACUAGAGAAAGCAUGAACUACUUACAUCACAUUUUGUCCUGAAUUAAAUACUGUACAGAUAGAGCAGCUAGGAUCUGCAGUCAUAGGUGGCCGGCUUUAUGUACUCCAUUUACUUCAGCACCUCCACUCUCCUGCAUCAUAUCUGCUUUCGUUGCUUUCAACACUUCUUUUAUCCUGCUAGCAUUUUCAUCUUCUUCCUUUUUGGUUAGUGUUUUCUUCUCAACAAGCUGCCCCACCCUGGCAUACUUCUCAAUAAAUUUAUCUUCCCAGUCUCGCAGAAUUUCAAGCUCAGCAUCACUAAGGCCUUCAAGGUUCCCAUUAAUAUCCUGAGGUUUGAAUGAUAACUGAGCUAAGGCUCGGCUAGCAUCUCUUCCAGCGAACAUUGCAUAUGGACCACCAGGACCAUAGAACAUCCUAUUUGCAACAAGCAAAUAGCUAAGUAAGUUCUACAAAAAACAAGCGCAAAAGCAGCCUGUGAAAAGUCUAGCAUUCAAAUCUAGUGCUAUCAAAGAUGAAGUUCCAAAGAAGUGCAGCAAUGCAUCUCGUUAAAUAAAAAAAAGAAGAGUAUUACACUCAAAAGAAUGCUAUAAUGAUAAUUGGAACCUGUGAAAAGUCUAUCAUUCAUAUCCAAUCCUAUCAAAGAUGAAGUUCCAAAGAAGUGUAGCAAUGCAUCUUGUUAAAAAAAAAGGAGCAUUACUCUCAAAGAAUGCUACGGCGAUAAUUGGAACCUGUGAAAAGUCUAUCAUUCAUAUCUAGUGCUAUCAAAGAUGAAGUUCCAAAGAAGUGCAGCUAUGCAUCUUGUUAAAAAAAAAAGAGUAUUACACUCAAAAGAAUUCUAUAACGAUAAUUGGAACCUACAUAUAGAUGUAGGUCAGAAAGCAGAAAUUUCUCUGAGCUUUAUAUUUCAGAAGAAUCACCUUGGCCACUUCACUAAUUAUUCUUUCUCCUCAAUGUUUGACGAUCUAGUGUUUGAAACCAUCCAUAGAUCGCCCAACUCCAAGCUAUUUUACACACAUGAGAGUGGGUCUUCACCAAUGGGGUUGGUGUAGCACUUAAUGAAGUGGGUGAAAACCUUAAAGACCACAAUUCAAAUCCCAAUGAAAUUAAAAAAUGAUAGGAGAUUUCUUUCUAUCUGCAUAAGCAUGUGGGCAAAGUUACCUGUUACCUGUUCUGGUGGGUGGUAACAGAUACCUGGUGAAAUAACCGAGCUGCAUGCGAGCUAACUCGGACCAAUGUCAAUAAUUUAAAAAAAAAACACGUUGGAUGGUUUCCUAUAUAAAAGUUACAGAAUUUUUAAUCAUCCUAGAUGCAUAUUUUAUACUUGCUAACAAAGAUCCAACAAACUCCUGCUACCGCGAAAAGAACAACGCACAAAGCCUUUUCGGGUGUUUGCUGCUACAACAUCUUUUAGAUACUCUCACUAAAUUAAAUCAGUAGAAACAGAUCAGUUGAAGCUUUCUUUCUUUUUCCAUAGAUAAAUGUGGCUUGAAGAUAUCUAUGCCAUAUGCCACACCAAUUCUACCAAGCUAAAGUGUUAUUAGCCAAACCACCAUAACUAAGGAAAUUGGCAGAAACGGCCCUCAAACUUGCCAAAAGAAUUUCAUUUAGACACUUUAUCUAAGGGCUUGAUUUAUUGAACACAUAAUCCAUGCUCAAACCGUGCAUGUUGAACACGUUUUUGACCAUUAACCAAAUUUUAUUGCCGUGUGAGGUUCACACCUAAAUCAACCAACCAACUUCUACCACCUCACGGAAUACCCGCACUACCCAGACCCCACCAACUGCACAUCGCCCACCCCAUCCACCCCCAUCCAGAAAAUUGACUUUUUGCUCACAUGAAAUGGCAGUGGUGACAGGGGGGAGAGCAGAAAAGGGAAGGGUAGAUAGUGAUGGUGGUGGAAGUGGUGUCACGGAGAGAAAAGGAAGAAUAGAAAGGGUGGAGGGUGGUGGUGGCAGUGGUGGUGGGAAGAGAGAAGGAGGAAGGGGAAGGGCGGAGGGUGGUGGUUGCCGUCGUGACGGGGCGAGAGGAGGAAGGGGAAGGACGGAGAGUGAUGUUGCAGUUGUGACAGGGAGAGAGGAGGAAGGGAAACGGUGGAGAUGAUAGUGGCGGCGAGAAGAGAGGAGAAGGACGGGGGAAUGUGGAGGGUAAUGGUAACAGUUGUUGCGAAGUGAAGGAGGAAGGAGAAAAAAAAGGGACAGCCCAGUGCACUAAGCUCCUGCUAUGCGCGGGGUCCGGGGAAGGGCCGGACCACAAUGGUCUAUUGUACGCAGCAUUAUACUACAUUUCUAAAGGAGAGAAAAAGAUUUUCUUUUAAAAAUUCGACUCUUCACACUCUCAAAAUAACCGUACACGCACUGUGCCACGUGAGUAGCAUCUGUUGUACUAGUCACAGAGCAUAUAUCAGGUGUUCAAUAGGUCAGGCCCUAAGAUAAGGUGUUUAAAUGAAGAUUUAUGGAAAUUUUAAGGGGCGGAAGUGUAUUAUUCCGAGGAAAUUCGUCCCAACGGACUGCUCUAGUAUAGACUCUGCAAUAAUCUAGUGUAAAACAAGGGACAACUCUAGUUGCUCUAAAGCUAGUACCUAUCUAUGUCAGAGCUUCUUUAACAAAAAUUGCUUGAGAACAGACAAAUUAUUACCAAAUAAAAGAGACAGCAAUCAGCUUAUGAAGUCCUAUUCCUUCCGCACCCCCCCCNNNNNNNNNNNNNNNNNNNNNNNNNNNNNNNNNNNNNNNNNNNNNNNNNNNNNNNNNNNNNNNNNNNNNNNNNNNNNNNNNNNNNNNNNNNNNNNNNNNNNNNNNNNNNNNNNNNNNNNNNNNNNNNNNNNNNNNNNNNNNNNNNNNNNNNNNNNNNNNNNNNNNNNNNNNNNNNNNNNNNNNNNNNNNNNNNNNNNNNNNNNNNNNNNNNNNNNNNNNNNNNNNNNNNNNNNNNNNNNNNNNNNNNNNNNNNNNNNNNNNNNNNNNNNNNNNNNNNNNNNNNNNNNNNNNNNNNNNNNNNNNNNNNNNNNNNNNNNNNNNNNNNNNNNNNNNNNNNNNNNNNNNNNNNNNNNNNNNNNNNNNNNNNNNNNNNNNNNNNNNNNNNNNNNNNNNNNNNNNNNNNGAAUUACUUAGUUCUUGUGUUCUGUUACAUUAUUUUGCCUCAACAGCUUAUCCUAUAAUAACCAGCAAGUCAGCUACUAUUUUAUUUUUAUAAGUGCUAGUCAGCUACUAGUUAAGGGGACUGCUACAUGUGCAUGAGCCACUACACACCCAAAAACAAAAAGGACACAGCUGCAAAGAGAUUGUGUUGAAUUUGACAUGGCAAGAGUCCAUGCAAUAGAAAUUAAAUGUUCUUUAGGCUACUUAGACUUGGUAACUGGUUGAAUUGGCUAGUGACAAGAGACCUAUUGGAGUGCAACAAGAUUUUAAAAAUAAAGCACAUAUCUUAUGGGUCAAUUUAGAGAUGUAAAUCUAGCUUAGUAGUUAAGGCUGAUAUCCAAAGAGAUGACUUUCAGUACAUAAAAAAAAUCACCUAUAGUACAAAUGAUCAUCAAGUGCAGUAUUGCAGUUAUACGCAAAAUACCUUGUCCUAUUUUUCAGCUUGAAGCAAAUAAUACUUUCUUAAACGGUGUCUUGAUGAUGAAGUAUACUCCCAGGCCGGCUGUUAUUCACCCUUGUUGGUUUGCAAAUUAAUUUUUAUGUGCAUUAGCAAGUCUAAACCCAAUGGUAUGCAAAGCUAUGCACCUUUUUUGCUUUCUAAUGGUUACUCUUCAUUGAAAAAAUGACUACUCUCUCUUAUAAAGAAGAAUGACCAAAGUGUUGUGUUAUUAGCUAUGAAGAUGAAUAGUUGUUAGCAGCUGGAAAUAUAAUCUAUGCAAUAUAAUCUAUGCGGUCCUUCUUACAGUCACCAGUUCAAAAUCAAAGAUUUCGGUCGAUUGAACCAUUUUCUGGGUCAUGAAAUCCUACUCGAGGCAGAACUACCGUUUGUUCCCAAAUCAAGUCUAGCCCUAGCGCAAAUCAUCAAAUUCAAAAGCCUGGACAAAAUCUAAUCAAAGUAAAUAAGCGAAAAUCCAACAAUUCUUUAGUGUGUGUGUGUGUGUGUGUGUAAAGAGAGAUAGAGAGAGACUAACUUGGAGCUAGAGACGUCGUAGAUCUGUCCUCUGAUAGCAAUCAACAAUGGCUUUUGUGAAUCGGAGCCAUUAUAAGCUUUAAGCUCGUCUUCCGUCAAGUCUCCGAGGAGGAGAGGCUCUCUUUUGGCGGGGACAAAGUCAUCGGCAGAGACGAACAUACUACAAACCACUUUGUAAGUCACCACCAUCAUUGCUGCAAUUGUGAAGAACGCCGUCGACGAUAAUCCCGUGUACUCCAAGAUCAUUUCCGUCAUUGCUGUCCAUACACUCGCCAUUCUUUCUCUUUAGUUUGCUGGGGAAAAGAGGUUACGAGCUCCGGUUGGAGUUGUGCUCUUUGAUGCUUUCAGUGCUACCUACCAACCCAUGAAAAGGAAAAAAGUUACCUACCAAACUGAAAGUACGUCCACCACCCGUACCACCAACAACAAAAGGCAUAAUUAAAACUUCGACACGGCUUUAAAUUAUGGCAUAAUAGCCCACAUGGCAGUUGUACUUGUUUCAUUUUGUUAUGUCGCUCCUCAUACUUUACUUGUUUUUAUUCACACAUUUUAACUUGAUCAAAAUCUACCUCAGUAACCAUUGACCAAUCACAUAUAUCAAUAUAAUGGUUGAGCUAAACAAAGUAAUGAAAUAUUUUGAACCAGAAAUAAUUAAAAUAAAAAAAAAUUAAUUAAAUAAGAAUAAAAAAUAAGUAAAAAAAAAGAAGAAAAAAGCAAAAAGGUUAUAUCUCUCUGUUCUUCUUGUAUCCACUCCCUCCUUUUUUGUUCCCUCUUUACCUUCUUCCUCUUCCAAGUAAAUAUUUACAAUCUCAACUUGAGUACUUCCCAAUCAGCUGUUCUCAAAUAAAAUUGAUCUCAAACACAAAUAAAUUUUUUAUCUAGGUUGCAAAAAUAUUAGGUUGUGAUGAUAAUUUUUUCUUCUGUCUCCAAUCCCUUGCCUUGUCUUCAAUAUUAUAGAUCUGAGCCACCAUUGAUUUUUCUCAAUUUUUAAUCUCUGAAAUUCGGAGGUGAAAACCAAAAACCCUUGUUCUGCCAUUGAUUUCCUCCAUUUAAAAAAAGAAUCAGCAACCCUUGUUUAUGAAUGAGGGUAGUUUCUGUUCUACUAGGACCUCAAGAAUGUGAGAACAAAUGGCAUCAGCGAUGCCUUGACCGUUCUCUCUGUUCGCUGGCAAUUAUGGCGAGGUCAGUAAUGAAAUGCUUAGAAUUGAAAGUUAAAUUGGACAAAUAGAGCUCGUAAAGCCUAACAAUCUCGUCCAUGGUCGGGGACAACACGAUAACACCAUCAUCGUCAAGUAGAAACAAUUUAAGUGGGUUUGGUCAUAAAAAUCUUAGCAAGAGGGGUACCCUUAUCUUGGAAGACAAAGAGGUUAUUUCCGAAAAAUUAUCGGUUGAAGAAAAAAGAAGAAGUAAUGUACAUCAUGCAGUGUAUACCGCUAUCUUGCUUGUAUCAUGCAGUGUAUACCUUUUUAGAAGUCUAGGUCCUCUCUAGGUCUUUGUCUCGUUUACUCCAAACUUUCUUCCUACAUUCUCAAUUGGCGUUCCCUUACAUCUGGACAAUCAACAUCAACCAUCUUCAAGCCAGAGGCUUCUUCCCUUCUCCCAUUAUUUCAUUAUGCUAUAUCUGUCUCUAACAUUAAAAAUUACGUACUUAUAGUUCUUGACUACACAAAUAUAUGCUAUAGAGAGCUUUUCUUUCCCGUCUUCAAAGGCCAUGGUUUUUAUGGUUUCAUUAAUGGAAGUAUCCCUCAUCUCGAGCCUUCUAUAUCUCAUGAUGAUGGCACAUCUAUUGUCAAUUCUACAUUCGAACAACGGGUUCAACUUGACUCUAUUAUUCUCUCAUGGAUUCAAGCAACCAUCUCUCAAGAGAUUCUUCAAGCUAUAAUCAAGCAAAAACAUACUCUUACUGCUAGAGAUGUUUGGCUUCAAAUUGAGCGCCUUUUUCGUAACCAAGUUAGUUCCAAAACUCUUCAACCCAAAGUCCGGUUUCAUAACCUUAAGAAAUAUGAUCUUUCAAUUAAUGACUACGUCCACCAUCUCAAGUCCAUUGUGAAUGUGUUAACAUCCAUUGGUAAUCAUAUCCUUGAAUCUGAUCUUGUUUUACAAAUACUUUCCGGUUUACCUUCCGAGUGUAUGCUUGUAAGUAGUUAUAUCUUCACUCACAUACUGUAUAAGGUAAAAUUUGGUUCACCUCGCCACUCCUUAAGUAAGCAUGUCCCUCAUAACGAGGCCGCCCUCGAAGCCUCAUCAACCAGGUAAGGACGGCCCGACCAAGGAGAUCAACUAAGCAGAGGAACGACACCGUUUUAGGCCUGGCUUCUUCCGUACGAAGAAUCCACCAACUUUUGUACUUUUCUUUUUAUGUAUUUCGAGAAAAGGUCUCGUAAUAUAUAAAUGAGACCUUCACCCUGUAAUAGGGUAGAUUGAUUAUUCUGAAUAUACCGUCUCUCUACUCUUUCUCUCUCUCUCUCUAUUGUUAAAAAGCAAACAUCUCUACAUCUCUCUAUCUUUUUCUGAUAGCAAAGCUCUGUAUUAUUUUUUAUACUUUCGGAUUUACCACGAUCUAAGUGAAAUAAUCCAUUCUAGGACUCAUUAUACUUGACUACGAUUUACCCUUAUAUCUUUUUGAUUGUUUUUAAGCUUACAAAGUGUGUAUAUCUUUUGAGCAAAAUAAUUUGGCGCCGUCUCUGGGAAUUUCGAGAAUCAAAAUUAUAGUUUGUGCCUAGAAAACCACUAACAACCAUCCUCUACAUCACACAAACAAGUAUGGCUGACAACCGUGCAAAAAUGAAAGCGAUAGAUGAGAUUAGGGUCAACCUCAUGGAUUCGCUCAACGAGACAAGUGAAGAUAAUCUCCUGACCACAACCCCAAGCACCACGAUAAGUGGAGGAACCCCACCUCCUCCAUCCAGAAACCCGAUAGAACCACGGGAAAGGGGAGCUUCUACAUGUACAUAUAAGGAAGCACCCCAAGAAUUCAAGGAGCUACCGAAAGAAUGGCUCACAAACACUCUAAACGUCUUGGUUGAAAAGCCUCCACAACGUGGCGUAAGACGCACGCAGUAAUGGACUUCACCGUGACAGAAGAUGAACCCGAGGUCGCUCGAGCAAACAAUGUUCUCACCGACAGUCAAACCAACAACGAUGCGCUCAUAAAUAUGCCCCAAUGAUCCACCAGCAAGGGGAACCCCUACACUCAGUCACCUCUACAUAUCCCUUCAUCAAAUGGGGAAUGGACAUAGUCAGCCCGCUACCCGUAUGUCCGGGAAAGGUACGAUUUUUGCUUGUUUUGACUGACUAUUUUUCCAAGUGGGUGGAAGCAGGUGCAUACACACAGAUACGCGAAAAGGAGGUCAUCACCUUCAUAUGGAAAAACAUUAUAUGCCACUUCGGCAUCCCCAAAGAAAUCAUCUGCGACAACGGACGACAGUUCGUCGGUCAAACAAUGAUCGAAUUCUUCGAGAAAUGGCGCAUCAAGAGAAUCCUCUCCACACUAUACCACCCCUCCGCCAACGGUUAAGCAGAAUCCUCCUACAAAACCAUACUAAACAUACUGAAGAAAAAGCUUGAAGACGCCAAAGGGCUAUGGCAUGAACUGUUACCCGAAGUGUUAUGGGCACACAAGACCACACCCAAGUCCAGCACAGGGGAAACCUAUACUCGUUGGUCUACGGAACCGACGCGGUCAUACCCGUCGAAGUAGGCGAACCAAGCCUGAGGUAUUCACACACCAGCGGAACGGAAAACGACGCAAAUAGGAUCCAAGACCUUGAUAAAGCCGGGGAAAGAAGAGAAAUGGCCCACAUAAGAAUAGUGGCCCAAAAGCAGCAAGUCAAAAGGUACUACAACAAAAGGGAAAAAAUAAGGCCGCUCAAAGUAGAAGACUUCGUCCUCAAAGCUAAGACAUUGGCUUCCAAAGACCCAAGUGAAGGAAAAUUGGGAACAAACUGGGACGAACCCUACAAAAUCACAACAACAGCGAACAAAGGGGAAUUUCUUCUGGAAAUAAUGGAAGGACAAACACUCCAGAACAAUUGGAACGUCACCCACCUCAAAUAUUUCCAUUUCUAAAAGGCGUCCCCCAAGUCACACUCUUUUUCUCUCACCCGAGUUUCUUCCCAAUUGGGUUUUCUCGGGGAGGUUUUUAACGAGGAAACGAAGGGAAAACCUGGAGAUGUUUGUGGAACAACAUGAUCCAGGGAGUGACAUCUCCAAUAUGUAAAAAGGCUACGGCCAUAUCCAAUAUGUAAAAAGGCUACGACCAUCUCCAAAGUGUGAAAGGCUAUGGCCAUCUCCAAUAUGUAAAAAGGCUACGGCCAUCUCCAACGGGUAAAAGGCUAUGGCCAUCUCCAAUGUGUAAAAAGGCUAUGGCUAUCUCCAACAUAUAAAAGGUUCCAUCUCCAAUAUGUAAAAAGGCUACGGCCAUCUCCAAUGUGUAAAAGUCUACGGUCAUCUCUAAUGAAUGAAAAGGCUACGGCCAUCUCCAGUAAACGAAAGGCUCGACGACCGUCGAAGUAAAUUUCAUGGCCAAGGCCAUUUUGAUUCAACAUGGCUAAGGCCAUUCCCACUAACAGUUGACUCAAUUUCGACUAUGGCAAAACGAGAAACUCGGCGACAGUCGAAGUAAAUUUCAUGGCCAGGGCCAUCGCUGCUAACAGUCGACCCAAUGUCGACUACGGCAAAAUGAGAAACUCGACGACAAUCGAAGUAAAUUUCAUGGCCAAGGCCAUUUCGAUUCAACAUGGCUAAGGCCAUUGCCGCUAACAGUCAACCCAAUGUCGACUAGGAAAAAAUGAGAAACUCGACGACAGUCGAAGUAAAUUUCAUGGCCAAGGUCAUUUCGAUUCAACAUGGCUAAGGCCAUCGCCGCGAACAGUCGACCGAAUGUCGACUACGACAAAAUGAGAAACUCGACGACAAUCGAAGUCAAUUUCAUGGACAAGAUCAUUCAAUUCAACAUGGCUAAGGCCAUUGCCGCUGACAGUAGACCCAAUGUCAACCACGGCAGAACGAAAGGCUCGAUGACAACAAUAGACAAUUUCAUGUCCAACAUAUUUAUGAAUAUGGCCAUUCAAUUCUACAUGGCUAAGGCGAUCAAUAUCACCUUGGAUAUGACCAGUGAUCCAACAUGGCAAAGGACAUCAUCGUUAACAAUCUACCCAAUAUCGACUACGGCAAAACAGAAGACCUGACGACAGUCGAGUCAAGCUCAAACUAUGAGUUGCAAACACGACAAAACUUCCAAGUAACAAAGAAGAAAUAACAACAGAAAAAGGUAUGUACUAUUAUAUCCAAAAAGUAUAUAUAUAUUCAACCUCAGAAAGAGGCCCCAUUUACAAUAAAAGGGUACAAAGCAAACCUUAGGAACGCCCGUCACCCUAGCCGGCACAAUCAGCACUCGGGCCGUCGCCACCUCCUGGCGGGUAGUAUCUAGAAAUCCAAGAAGCAGACGCGAGGCGGUUAAUAUCUUUUGAGUUAUAUCCUUCUCUAGCGGGCGAGUCAAAGAGAUAACCGGCUGCAUCACGAGCAACCUGGGUUAGACUCCGCUGCCUAUCCACGUCCUCUUCGGAGACCCGACCAGCUGCCAGGAGCUCUUCAAACACGACUAGCCGGGCAUCAUGGUACACCCACAUGUCAUGAGCAUCCUGACGCUCAGAUUCCUAUGGAACGGUCCGCGCAAGGGCUUCAAUCUCAUCCUCCUUAGCUUUGAGCUCACCGGUUAAGACCGCAACCCGAGCCUGAAGUUCAAUAGCCUCCGCCGCUACGGCACGGCCAAGCUCCAACUCGUCAUCCUUCGCUCGAAGGAGAGCCUCCAAUUCAUUGUCGACCGCGGCCAAGAGCUGCUCGUCCGCCCUCUCCAACUCGGCCAACCGCUUCUUCAGUUGCUCCUCCAUCUGGGUAAGGCCCUCGUGGAAUAGCCUAAACUCGGGGUCCUGCUUGUACAUGUCGGCCAAUGCUUGAUAUGCAUCGCGGACCCGCUUGUACCUCUGCCACAUUCUUUUAUGGGAAUCCUCCUUUUUCGCUAGGCGUCGCCCCUCUCCACCUCUAAAACGAAAACCUAAAAAAUAUCAAAGGGUGAGUUAUUAUACAGGCGGACCACCCCUACGACAUCAAAAGAAGGAGGGCCAAAGUUACCUGCAAGGCCGCGCCCGCUACCCUUCGAGAAAGGCCCCUGUCGCUGACCUCCGCCAAUGCUUCACCCUCGGUGCCCGCACAAAGAAGGGUUAUGUCCUCGUCCACCUCCUCGCAGUUCUCCAAAAGGUUAUACCUGCUGGGGAUCACAAUACGCAGUGUAGACCUACCAGCCGUCAUCUCAACACGAGCCGGAGAGUCCCUUCCUCCGUCCAUGCUCUCCAAAGGCGCACUUGUCCUCGCCGCUGCGGCCGACGAACCGUCCUCCAUUGCAGAACGCAGACCGGCCUCGACAUCAACCCUCCCCCGAUGAGAGACCCUCCAUGAGAGGAACGUAUCGGCCAUAAACGACCGCCCUGGCUUGUGAUGAGGAAAUUGCACCCUCUCCCCCUCAACAGCUACUCCUUUGCCCGUGACCAGCCGACGCCUCCUACUUGCGAAGGACUCCUCAUCUUCAGGAGCCGCCUCUAUCGGCUACGAAGGAGACUCCAAAGAAGCACUUCAUUGCCGGACGUACCUUCGACCCCCCUCGCGGGCAUGGCCUUAGGAACCACCAGAACUCCUCUUCAGCCGUUAUCUCGAGCGCCGCAUCAGAUGCCGCCCCCGGCGUAACUUCCUGUUGAGGGGCCGAGAGGGUGCUACUUUCUGGCGAAUCCCCUGCAAGCACAUCCUCCUUCUCAGAGCCCGGCUCUGCCCUAGACGGGUCGAAAUCAGUUAUCUUCCUCUUAGCCCCCUUCGAAACGCCUCGGGCUGUCAAGGAAAGGGUACGUCAUACUAAAAGACUCCCGAAUCAGGACAAGGAAAAAGAAAAUAGUAAGGAAAUACCGUUACUAGUCAGGCCAUACACGUUACAAAAUUGAGACCAAGUACGACACUCCUCCACAUGUGGAAUCAUCCUCUCCACCCACGACCUAAUGUUGUCCGUACAGGAAAGAGACGAGGAAUCUGCAGGCAUACGAGCCACCACUUCAAUCAGCAGAUAAAAGAACUAUGAGGAGUUAAGCCGUCAUAACAGAAAGAAUCGAAUAAAACACAAGGGAAAACUUACACUCCUGGUUCCACACCUCCGGAAAGCCUUCGGGGUUAGCCACCAGAUGCUUUGUUCGGACAUAGAAAAACUUCUUCCAAUAGCCACGGUUGGCCUUGUCAUGAGACUACACCACGAAGCUUUUCUUACCACGACUUAUCAGGUGCAACAUUGAACCCCUUAGGUAACUCGCAUUGAACAUCUACCGAAGGUGGUAUAUCGUGACCAUGCACCCGACUUUCUCCGCGUGGGUGGUGAGUAUCCUGCACACUUUCAGCGUGUAAGGAGUAAGUUGAGCCAGACACGCCCUGAAGAAAUGGAAAAGUUCCUCCGCAAGGGGGUUAAGCGGGAAACUGUAGCCGAUACGGAAUGCAUACUCGUAGAACGUGCAGAACCCGGGCCUGUGCACGUUGACAUAAUUUUCUCCGGCAUGCAUUAUAUCGACGUGGUCUGGGAACCCAUAUGCCAUGCUAAGAGCAUCCAAGUAGGAAAUCGUCAAUUCGCUUUUUUCCCAGGGUGGAAGGGAACCCUUAUGACUAAAGUCAUUUCUUUUGCUCAUGUUCUUCGGAAAAACAUUCGCCACUGACAGAGGAAGUAGAACCUCUUCGACCACCUCCGCCUCACCGUUAGAAAGAGGUGAAACCCUUGGAGGAUCAUUAUUUUUGGACUUCUUGCUUCCUUGAGAUCGCUUCACUAUGGUUAAAGCUUACCAAAAGAGAGUGUUUCAAGUAGAUGCAAAGCUCGAACUGUCAAAACAAUGGUUCUUAAGAAAAGCAAUGAUCGUCGGAAAAUAGAACGAGAAAAAGAGAGAAAUGUCCUUCAAAGAUUCAAACGAUGAAACGUUUUGAAUCACUCCGUUGUUUAUAGGAGUGAGGUACACGGAAAUCGAAGCGACAUCAUUCAAAAGCUGGCGCGGGAAACCCAAAAGUCAUGUUAGGAUCUGAACCGCCUCGGGAGUAGAAAUAAUGAUGAUGCACGUGAUUGAUGAUGUCAUCCUAAAAAGCAGCCGAGUGUCAACAGCUCCAUACUGUCACAUAAGCGAACAUGUCCGCCCAUUGAAGACGCUCCUCGAGGACGCCUCCAACGGACGGUGGGACUAAGUGUAUGAGGUAAAACUCGAUUCACCUUGCCACUACCUAAGUAAGCACGUCCCUCAUAAUGAGGCCGACCUCGAAGCUUCGUCAACAAGGUAAGGACGGCCCGACGAAGGACAUCCUGAUCAACUAAGUAGAGGAACGACACCGUUUUAGGCCUGGCUUCUUCCGUAUGAAGAAGCCACCAACUUUUGUAUUUUUCUUUUUGUGUAUUUCGAGAAAAGGUCUCAUAAUAUAUAAAGGAGACAUUCACCCUGUAAUAGGGUAGAUUGAUUAUUCUGAAUGUACCAUCUCUCUACUUUCUAUCUCUCUAUUGUUAAAAAGCAAACAUCUCUACAUCUCUCUAUCUUUUUCUAAUAGCAAAGCUCUCUAUUAUUUUUAUACUUUCGGAUCUACCACGAUCUAAGUGAAAUAAUCCCUUCUAUGACUAAUUAUACUUGAUUACGAUUUACCCUUAUAUCUUUUUUAUUGGCUUUAAGCUUACGAAGUGUGUAUAUCUUUUGAGCAAAACACAUACCUCUUCCUACCUUUGUCGAAGCCCGUUCCCUUAUUUUUCUUCAUUAAGUAAGGUUGAGCAGUAUCUCUCGCCCAUCUACAUAUAAUUUUACUUCUGUCUUUGUGGCUAAGCAACAAUCUUCUUCCUCUUAUGGUCGCGGACGCAGUAGUAAUAAGAAUGGACCUUGGGCCUAACUCAACCCCAAAAGCUAGCUUCUGAGGUGAGGAUUGCUCAAGCCAUAUAAGGAGACCAAGGACCUCAAAUCCCUCCGAUGUGGGACAACUCAACACCCCCCUCACGUCUAGAUCUCUGGAGCGUGGACAGCAUAAAUGGGGGCCCUACAUCGGUAAUAAUAAUUGGGAUGGGCCUGGCUCUGAUACCAUAAUAAGAAUGGACCUUGGGCCUAACUCAACCNNNNNNNNNNNNNNNNNNNNNNNNNNNNNNNNNNNNNNNNNNNNNNNNNNNNNNNNNNNNNNNNNNNNGACCUUGGGCCUAACUCAACCCCAAAAGCUAGCUUAUGAGGUGAGGAUUGCCCAAGCCAUAUAAGGAGACCAAGGACCUCAAAUCCCUCCGAUGUGGGUCAACUCAACACCCCCCUCACGCCCAGAUCUCUGGAGCGUGGACAACAUAAAUGGGGGCACAACAUUGGUAACAGUAAUUGGGACGGGCCUGGCUCUGAUACCAUGAUAAAAAUGGACCUUGGGCCUAACUCAACCCCAAUAGCUAGCUUUUGGGGUUGAGUUAGGCCCAAGGUCCAUUCUUAUCAUUGUUGAGUUGUCCCACAUCGGAGGGAUUUGAGGUCCUUGGUCUCCUUAUAUGGCUUGAGCAAGCCAAGGUCCAUUCUUAUUAUGGUAUCUGAGCCAGGCCCGUCCAAAUUAUUGUUACCGAUGUUGGGCCCCCAUUUAUGUUGUCCACGCUCCAGAGAUCUGGGCGUGAGGGGGGUGUUGAGUUGUCCCACA
rnacentral:lncRNA from 1 species